AGUGUCGGCCAGGAACCUUAAAAUGACCAGCGUGGAGCAAACUGGGAUGGGCAUGAAUGGAAAAGUUCUGGAAACAAACGAUGGGCCAGUAAUAAAACCAGAAAAUUAGGAACAUGAACACCAAGAUGAACCGCAAACUACUGAAAAGCUAGCUGGGUUUGCGAGGCCAACCAGCGCUGAAGGAGGAAGCGAGUGCCACAGAUCUACAGCAGUACCACAACUCUCGCCACGACGGCAGUUAACUUCUUAAUUCUUCUUUGUUCCUUUGCUUUCUUUUCCUCAGCAGUGCAAUUGUUAAGCAAAUAAACGAUCAGUAAGCUUU